AGCCUACAUCUACCAAAAGCACAAUUUUCUGAAACGCCGACACCCACAGCUGCUCACUCGGAAUAAAAAUGACUGUUGUGUGCAUUUGGAGGUCCGUGAGGACUCGGAAUACGGCCCGAUUCACGUGAAAGGCACUCUGGAGCACACGGGCCAUCGUUUCGGAACUCCGUUGCUCAGAAUGUGUAGGUUUUUGGCUUUUUUCGGUAAAAAAUUUGGCAUUUUUGAGGUUUUUAGCCCAGACAUGUAGAAAUUUCAAUGUUUUUGAGGUUUUUUAGCUUAAAAAUCGGCAAAAAUCGCACAUUUUCGAGGUUUUUUUGCUAAAAAAUCGGCAAAAAUCGCCUAUUUUUAAAGGUUUUUUAGCCUAAAAAUCGGCAAAAUUCGCCUAUUUCCAAGGUUUUUUUGCUAAAAAAUCGACAAAAAUCGCCUAUUUUUGAGGUUUUUAAUCCUAAAAAACUCGCAAAAUGCCAUUUUCAGCCGUUUUUAAGCUAAAAAAGCCCAAAUUCAAGCUUCCGAGCCUAAAAAUCACUAAUUUCAGCUCCAAUGGAUCGUCAAAUAUAUUCGGAAGUGCUCAGCUGGAAAGAGCAACGAGAUUUUCAGUUUAUGGCUCUAGACGUUGUCGAGAAGCUUAAUGGUACUGGAAAAGAGCUAAAAACUGCCGAAAAAUAAGAAUUUCAGCCAAAAAUCUAGUGAAAAACUGGGAAUUGGACGAUUUUUGUGUAAAAAAUUGGAAAAAAAAUUGGUUUUUAGCCUAAUUUUCAUGAUUUUUGGCCAAAUUUUCAACAUUUUAAGCCAAAUUUUCAACAUUUCAAGCCGAUUUUUCACUAUUUAAAGCCAAAUUUUCACCAUUUCAAGCCAAAUUUUCACCAUUUCAAGCCAAAUUUUCACCAUUUCAAGCCGAUUUUUCACUAUUUAAAGCCGAUUUUUCACUAUUUAAAGCCAAAUUUGAACCAUUUUAAGCCAAAUUUUCAACAUUUUAAGCCAAAUUUUCACCAUUUCAAGCCAAAUUUCACCAUUUCAAGCCGAUUUUUCACUAUUUAAAGCCAAAUUUGAACCAUUUUAAGCCAAAUUUUCAACAUUUUAAGCCAAAUUUUCACUAUUUAAAGCCAAAUUUGAACCAUUUUAAGCCAAAAUUUCAACAUUUUAAGCCAAAUUUUCACGAUUUCCAGCCAAAUUUUCCCCAUUUUUCAGUAUUCGAAGGCUUCACAAUGGAUCAUUACACCACUCCGCGGUCCGUAAUCCUGAUGGAACCCCUUCACACGAAUCAAUUCCAAUCCCUCAGAGAAUUCAUCGAGGCUCCCUCCACCUCAACCUAUCAAAAUCCGUAUUUUUCCGUCGAUUUUGGCGAUUCGCCGGAGCAAUUUUCGUUUGGUUACAUGUCCGACGAGAUGCAAAAGUUGUGGAGCAAAUAUGCGCCUGGAAGGACAAUUACAAUCGAUUCGGUACGGGAAAAUUUGAGUUUUCCGCGAAAUUUGCCCCUGAAAAGCCGUUUUCAGGGCUCUGUAGCUCGAAAAUUGAAAAUAAGGGGUACUGUAUCCCCAAAAGUACGCAAACACCACCCAAUGCACCUGAAUUUACGCAAAAAUGCAGAUAAGCUCUAAAAAUCGGUUUCGAGGGGAAAAAUGACGAGGAAUUCGAUUUUGGUGUCAAAAGUGUGAAAAAACGGCAUAUUUUUGAUUAAAAUAACUAAAAAAAUAGUUGAAAAUUCGAAUUCCCCGUCACUUUUUACCCCGAAACCCGAUUUUCAGAGCGUUUCUGCAAUUUUACGUAAGAUCUGAUGUAUUUGGGUACUGUAGUCGGUGUUUGCGUACUUUUGGCGCUACAGUAAUCCGGAAAUUUUCCAAUUAAGCUAGAGAGAGCCCAUCUAAAAGUUAUUUAAGACUAAAUUUCGCUUAGAUUUCGAUAAAUUUUCAGAUUAAAAUUACCACCAAAACUUGAAAUUUUCAGUCCCCGCUGGAGUUUGGCGAAGUGGAUUUGUUCCAGUACAGCGUCAUUGUGACCGACGAGAAUUACAUUCCAAAGUGUGCGAUGAUCUACGUGACGACGGACAAUUCACGGGCUCCGCACACAAUUUUGCGGCAAAUGAAGGCUGUGUAAGGCCUUGUUUUUAGUGAAAAUCUGGAAAUUUCUAGACAAAAUCUUGGGAAAAUACCGAAAAAUUGACAAUUUUUUAUUUAGCAGACCCAGCUAUGGUCUGCUAAUUAUUUAGCAGACCCAACUUUGGUCUGCUAAUUAUUUAGCAUACCCAAAAAUGGUCUGCUAAAUAUUUAGCAGACACAAAAAUGGUCUGCUAAAUAUUUAGCAGACCCAACUUUGGUCUGCUAAUUAUUUAGCAUACCCAAAAAUGGUCUGCUAAUUAUUUAGCAGACCCAACUGUGGUCAGUUAAUUAUUUAGCAUACCCAAAUAUGAUCUGCUAAUUAUUUAGCAGACCCAACGUUGGUCUGCUGAAUAUUUAGCAGUCCCAACUUUGGUCUGCUAAUUAUUUAGCAGACCCAACUUUGGUCUGCUAAUUAUUUAGCAUACCCAAAUAUAAUCUGCUAAUUAUUUAGCAGACCCAACUUUGGUCUGCUAAAUAUUUAGCAGUCCCAACUUUGGUCUGCUAAUUAUUUAGCAGACCCAACUUUGGUCUGCUAAUUAUUUAGCAGACCCAACUUUGGUCUGCUAAUUAUUUAGCAGACCCAACUUUGGUCUGCUAAUUAUUUAGCAUACCCAAAAUGGUCUGCUAAUUAUUUAGCAUACCCAACUUUGGUCUGCUAAUUAUUUAGCAGACCCAACUUUGGUCUGCUAAUUAUUUAGCAUACCCAACUAUGGUCUGCUAAAUAUUUAGCAGACCCAACGUUGGUCUGCUAAUUAUUUAACAGACCAAACUUUGGUCUGCUAAAUAUUUAGCAUACCCAAAAAUAGUCUGCUAAUUAUUUAGCAGACCCAACGUUGGUCUGCUAAUUAUUUAGCAGACCCAAAUAUAAUCUGCUAAUUAUUUAGCAGACCCAACGUUUGUCUGCUAAUUAUUUAGCAGACCCAACUUUGGUCUGCUAAUUAUUUAGCAGACCCAACUUUGGUCUGCUAAUUAUUUAGCAGACCCAACUUUGGUCUGCUAAUUAUUUAGCAUACCCAAAAAUGGUCUGCUAAUUAUUUAGCAUACCCAACUUUGGUCUGCUAAUUAUUUAGCAGACCCAACUUUGGUCUGCUAAUUAUUUAGCAUACCCAACUAUGGUCUGCUAAAUAUUUAGCAGACCCAACGUUGGUCUGCUAAUUAUUUAACAGACCAAACUUUGGUCUGCUAAAUAUUUAGCAUACCCAAAAAUAGUCUGCUAAUUAUUUAGCAGACCCAACGUUGGUCUGCUAAUUAUUUAGCAGACCCAAAUAUAAUCUGCUAAUUAUUUAGCAGACCCAACGUUUGUCUGCUAAUUAUUUAGCAGACCCAACUUUGGUCUGCUAAUUAUUUAGCAUACCCAAAAAUCCUGAAAUUUCACUCUACACGUGACAAAUCGGACCAUUUUUGUACGAAAAAAUCAUGUUUUCAGGCUGUUUUUCAACAAAAUUUGCUGAAAAAUCGAAUUUUUCAACAAAAACAUUUUCAGAGAACCUCGACCGCCGACAAUUUUUAUGGUGGACCCGUCACAACUCUGGGUGGAACUUAUCCAAGACCUAUGGCCCACAGAUUUGGAUAAUCCCGAGUCGGAAGUGACGAUUCUCAUCUCCGAAUGGACUCUGAUGGAUUAUUGGGCUGCGAAAACGGAGGAACUAGUCAAAAACGAAUUUGACGUGUUUUGUAUCGUUACUGG
rnacentral:sRNA from 1 species